CCUACGGGCGGCUGCAGUGGGGAAUAUUGCACAAUGGGCGCAAGCCUGAUGCAGCCAUGCCGCGUGUGUGAAGAAGGCCUUCGGGUUGUAAAGCACUUUCAGCGGGGAGGAAGGCGUUAAGGUUAAUAACCUUGGCGAUUGACGUUACCCGCAGGAGAAGCACCGGCUAACUCCGUGCCAGCAGCCGCGGUAAUACGGAGGGUGCAAGCGUUAAUCGGAAUUACUGGGCGUAAAGCGCACGCAGGCGGUCUGUCAAGUCGGAUGUGAAAUCCCCGGGCUCAACCUGGGAACUGCAUUCGAAACUGGCAGGCUAGAGUCUUGUAGAGGGGGGUAGAAUUCCAGGUGUAGCGGUGAAAUGCGUAGAGAUCUGGAGGAAUACCGGUGGCGAAGGCGGCCCCCUGGACAAAGACUGACGCUCAGGUGCGAAAGCGUGGGGAGCAAACAGGAUUAGAUACCCGGGUAGUC
rnacentral:rRNA from 1 species